UUUUCCCAUGUCCUGAAACUUCCUGUUCUGUUUUCUGGACUCUCAGUAGGAUUCAGUCCCCCUGGGCUUGGCCUUCACCAGAGAUAGAAUCACUUUCAGCUGGUACUGCUCAGUUGCAUUUAGCUGCCAGUCUCCAUUGUUCAUUUCCAUCCAACUGUUUGGAGGUCCAUCCAAACAAUUAUUUUCUAGGCAUAAUGUAUAAGAAUUUAUAAUAGUGAGGGAUCCAUCUCUGGGAAAACUCCAUUCAGGUGGAACAUGAGAUCUUAUAGGCAUGAAUUAGAAGUCAAGAAAAAAAAAAGAGAUAGCUAAGUUGUGCUUGGACUUAGCAGUAAAAGAUAUUUGAUGGUGGGGAUGGGCAAGCAAAAGACAGAGACAAUGAAAAGGAACUGGUAGGCAAGCAACCUGAAAGAUGGCCAGAUGACUUUAAGAAGGGGUAUAUCUAAUAGUCUAUUUACCUUACCUUUUUUAUUUUUUUUCUUUUACAUUGCCGUGUUGUUAGUCUAUCAGCAGAUGAUCAAGAAUAUCCUAGAUGACAUCUGAAUGACAUAUUUAUUAAGCAUACAUUUGAGGAGCACUGCAGUAUACCUCGUGGUGCUGGUGAUCAUCAAUACACUUACAACACAGAGGACAGGUCCCUAACCUAGAUUGGGGGAGCAUGCUGGGAUCUCAGGUAGUCUUCCUGAAAAGGGAAUGCCUGAAGGUAUUAUGAGGUCCUACUGCACAGCACAGGGAACUAUAUACAAUCUCUUGGGAUAGAACAUGAUGGAAGGUAGUAUGAGAAAAAGAAUGUAUAUAUAUGUAUGACUGGGUCACUAUGCUGUACAGUGGAAAUUGGCACAAGAAUGUAAAUCAACUGUACUUUAAUAAAAAAUUUAAAAAAAAGAAUGAGUAUGAAUUAAAUAGUGAAGAAGGGAAGGGGUGUUUUCACCUAGACAUGGAGGUGAGAGAAAAGUGUAGGUGGUUCUGUGAAGCAGGAGGGUGGGGCAUACUGAAUCAUUCAUGACCCAGAUCCCGUUAAUCAGCUCAAGCUGUUGGGUAUGUCCUCAUGUGGCCUUUCCUCAUGCACAUGCAGAGAUAGAGACGGAGAAAAACCUCUUUCUCUUCUUAUAAAGUCCCAGUCCUCUCAGGUUAGGACCACACCCUAAUGACCUCAUUUAAUAAGAAUUAUUUCCGAAAAGGCCUAUUUCCAAAUAUAGUCACGCUGAAGGUGAGGGCUUCAGCAUUUGAGUUUUAGGGGAGACACAGUUCAGUUCAUAGCACCAAUCAUGUUGAAUUUGUUAUGAUUUGCCAAGGAUUUUGAACUUUAAGGAAGAGGGAACUAUUGUAAGGGGAGUUAAAUAAUAAUCAUAAUGAUACAGCAAUAUUAUAGUGAUGAUUAUUAUAAAUUAUAAGAACUGUACCUUAUGGCAUUCUUCCAAUGUGGCAGACACUGUUUUAACUGGUUCACAUGUAUUAAAUUUUGUUUUGUGAAUCGUCCCAAUACCUUUUGAGUAUUAAAUAGUAUUGUGAGACUGUUUUAUAAAUGUUGAAACUGAGCCACAGAACCUCCCCCAAAGCCUUGUCCAAGGACCAGGUUUGAAUCUAAGAAGGUCCAUGCUGAUUCUGUCAUUUGUUUAUUUAUUCAGAACACAUUUAUCUCAAGCUCUGUAACACUGCCAAAUUAAAGAUAAGCCCUAGUGGAAUUUAGGAACAAACAUUGGAAGCAGAGAUAGUAGAGAAGCAAGAAGUGCAUUUGUAUAUUUAUAAUUUGUGAUGAUGAGUGCAAAGUGUGGAGAAUCGACUUGAAAGAAGAGUGACCAGAAGCAGGGGGCAAGUUAUGAGAGUAUGGAGGAAAUACAGGUGGCUGACAAAUGUCCAGAAUUUAGACCAGAGCAUGCACUAAUAGAAGGCAUGGCCAGGUAUGGCCAAGCAGAGGAAGUUUGAUAUAGAUUUAUUUAGAAAGAAAACUUGCUAAUGUCAUUCGGGUCUUCCUUUGCGGUCCUCUGAAAUCCUGGGGAGCAGGGGGAAGGUAAGUCAGAACUUGUCUGGUUCAUAUUUUUAUUCAACUAUGACAUCAGCUAUGGCAUUGGAGAAUGUUUGUAUCUCCAGCUAGCUCAAAUGGAUUAUAUUUUGAUCAAGGCUUUACCAUAUCUCCCUUUUUAAUAUUAAAAAUAUCAUCCAAGUUUUAUUGCUCCGUAUGUAACUUCUCUUAUGCAGUUUGUUUCACAUUCUCUUCGUUAAAGCAUCCUCUGUUUGUAAUAUGUAUUCAAAGCAAACCAUGGAGAUCUGUGUUUUAAAUUCAUUCUUGGGUGCCUCAUCUUUUUGUGAGCUUGCAACCUGUAAUGUCAUGGAUUUCCCCCAAUACAGCACAUCUUGACUAUAUUGGUGUUAUUUGGGUCCUCACCCAUUUCUGCCAUCAUUUGGCCAAUCAUGUAAGUAAGUCCUACAUUCAACAGUAAAAGUAAGAAAACAAAAUAUUCUGAAACAAAAGAGAGUUCCACUCCUGUCUAUGUUUAAUAUACACAAAAGGCCAAGAGCUUAAAAUGCUGUAAGAGGACAUCCUCCAGGAGAACAGAAGAGAAGAAAUAAGAUAUGUCAUUGAUCCUAAUAGCACAUUUACUUCCCUGCAGUUUAAUGCUUCUGAAAUGGACUUUGGACGUGGAUCUUACAUCUGAUUGCCUCAUGGAGUUAAAGAAACACAUUUACCCCCUUUGGUGCCAGACUUCCACCACUUAAAUGAUGAAUCCAGAAUUAACAGCUCCUCUAAUUAAAAUGAAAGCCCCCCUCAUCAGAGCUCAUCUCAAUUUGGACUAGCCGCAUUUUAAGUAUGUAAGAGUCAUAUGUGGCCUUGUGGCUGCAGAAGUGGACAGAACAGCUCUUUAACGUCCAAUGCAUUCAUAGGCUGUUAAGAGGAUGUCAUUCUCCUUCUCCUUCCAGGAAAAUCAAGAUAACUGCUUUUCCUUUAUUUUAUUGGAUUCAAGCAACCAUGUGAAAAGAUAUGUAAUCACCAAGUAAAUAUUGACCAGGACAUGACUGAAAAGAGCAAGGGGUUAGCAGAUGCCAAUUUUAUGGAGAAUUUCUUCCAUAUCAUCUAACAUUAUCUUGGUGUUGCCUGCUCUGCAUUCUGCAUCCAGCAGGGAACUGGCUUAUGAAUUUGUGGGCCUGGUUCAACAAGGCUGUUGUCUUCACAUCUUAUGCUGGGGCUUGAUGUCCACAGUGGGCCUAUAGGAAGGGAGGCUCACGAGCAGGCUGGAACCCCCAGAAUGAACUCAAAUCCUGUUUGCUCCUGUUGGCUUUGACUUUACCGAUGAGUAUGUCCUGCAGAAGCUGGGGCCCUUCAUCAGAGGGUUAAACCCAGGCACCUGGCCGCAGAGUUGAAGACACUGAAGGAGGAUCCAGGUAACAGGAUUAUGUUGUUGGGAAAUAGAAAAUGUUCCAACAGAAAUUCUUUACUGAGGUGAGCAGUGCCUUCCAGCAGCCCAUGCCGAAAUGAAGCUGAGUCUCUACGUAGUUGCUCUACCUGUCCAAAUACUGCAUCUGUGAUUCUGGCAUUGAUAUUUCAGGUAAGCUAAAGUGGCAUAAACUAACUGUGAGAUAAGCAAAGAGAGGUGGGAAAGACCUUUGUCUGGGCCACACGUUGUGGGCACGACCGUGAGUUUAGGGGUACACAAUUUGUAACUGGACUUGUUUUUAAAAACCUCUGGUUUUAGCAUUCGAUAUCCUGAUUGUGAAGCCCAUGGAGCAUUUUAAUGCCUUUGCCAGAAGUGCUGGUGUUGUUUGCCCUCCAUUUUGUUUCAAGUGUCAUUAGGAAAGGUUUAAAUGAUGUGCCUGACAUAACCCUCCUGCCUGUGGAGAGAUCAGAGAUGUGCUGUGAGCCUGGUGAUAGCAGGAGAGAAUGCUCUGAACCAUUUUUAUAUGCUUUGUUUCGAUUGGUUGAUGGUUUGGCUUCUCAGGCUGCUGAGGCUGCAAAAGGAGUAAGGGGAACAAACCAGCCACUAAAUUUUGAAAUACCGAGGAGGUCAGAGAAGCUGGGGUUAUUAUCAUCUCUCAGUGAGCACAUAAAGCAUUAAACUUUUUCGGUCUCAUUUUUGUGACAGAGAUUUUGACAAGAACAUAAAAUAAAAACCUCACAAAUUCAUGCUGCCGACAAUGAUUAUAACACGACCCCGGAAUGGUAUUAAAUGUCAACAUUUCUUGAAUCAAUUUGAAGAUAGUGAUCGGGCAGACCUCCACAGACACUGCAAAUGAUUCCAGUAAAAUUUCUCCCUUUCUGAUUUUAAUAUUGUAAGAAGUGAAAGGAUUUCAAUAUCACAUGUGACGAAAAAGGAUUUUAAACUCACCAUUGAAUUCUGAGGAGUAAUAGAUUUUCACGGAAUUAUAAGGCUUGUUUCUGAAUCCUCCUGCAAAGUACAUAAAACAAGCCCAAUAAUUUCUAGAGAUCCUCACAUCAUAGCAUUUUACUUCAAAUUAACCUCGUGGUUUUUGAUAAUUUAAAAAUACUAAAUCUUAAUUUUUAAUUAGCCUCUCCUUAUCAAUGGCUUUUCAUGGAGUCAUUUUUGGUUAUAGAAUAAUGCUUUUGUGCAAAAUAUCCACAGCUCCUUUGGUCAUUGCAACCAAACAGACUCUUUUUAACCAUGUGAUAGACUCACCAGAUUAAUAGAAACCAGCAUUUUGGGUUCAAUUUGUACCAAGUAGAAAUUAAACACAACUUUGAAAAGCAUGAAAAAGUAGAAAGUGUACAUUAUUCUCAAUAUCUACAUCUUAAAAUUGCUUAAAAGGAAAGGAACGUGUUUAAACUGCUCAUUCUUGAUCCUAUGUUUCCUUGAGGAGUCCAAAGAGCCACUAGGUGUUGCUCUAAGAUAGCUUCCUAUAGACAAACCAGCAAAGUGCUUUAUGAUCUUAAGAUUUCAUCGGUCAUUAUAACUUGCUUAAAAAUGCUAAGAUUAAAUCUGAGGCUUAGAAAAUUAGCUUUAACUAGUAUCAUGAUCAUCUAUUAAAAUACGUAGUGCAUACAUACAUACUCCCCCCCAAAAGCCUUGUAAAUGAAAAUCAAAUAUGAAAUCCUAUGUAAUACCAAUGGUUGUAUUCAUUUAAUACCAAAAUAAUCAGUUUAAGUGUGGCAAACACAACUACCUUUUUUGUUUACUUAUGCCUUCCCCAAGGCAAUGGUUGACAUUUCUGAAGUGAGGAAUUGUUCUAGCAUCAGGGGAAUGGAACCUCUGUUUUAGCCCAGGCUUUUUACUUUAUCAAGCAGCUUCCUCAAAAGGACUUUUGGAUCUGGGUAGUAUGAUACCCAUUUUCUCUCCCUUUCUCUCCCUCCCUCUCAGCUAAUAAUCCAGGAACCCAUCGGGUAUUCUGUGACAUUUGGCACACACAUGAAAUGAGUUUUCUGGGUUCAUUGAUGUUUCUCCAAAGUUGAAAACUACUCUGUGCCCUAGCUUGGCAAAUUUAGACUGAUCACCUCAAAAGCCUGGAUGAGAAUAUUAGAAAUGUUGCAAUAUAAAAGUGAGGUGAACUAGAAGAACUUCAGGGAAGGUACGGAAUAAUGCCUAGUUUCUGCACAUUUUUGUGGCUCUCCAUUUUACAGGGCUCUAUAGUUUUGUGAAGGAGAAAAGGACAAAAAUGCUGUUCUGGUAAACAGAACCAUGGCUAUAGCUUAAGAAAUGACCAGCGACGGUCUCUUUGAGCCUGUCAUUCAUGGUUUCUUACCUUUAAAUUAAUAUGAAGGAAUAUAAAAUGUUAAACUACAGUGGAUUAUAAUUUUGUUUCCACUCCAUUUUGUAAAUAAAAGGCUUAGUAAACUAUUUCCAAAAGACAUAGUAAAAAUCCUCCUGACACUGUUUUUGAUUUUGCAUCUUUGGUUAAGCUCAACCAGAGUCAAUGAAUCAAGGACUUAAUCUUUUUUCCCCUGUUUUUCUUUUUCAGCUGUACCUGCAACACAUGGAAUUUCCCGGGCCAAGGUUUGAACCUGCGCCUCAGCAGCAAUCAGAGCUGCCACAGAGACAACACUGGAUCCUUAACAUGCUGCUCCACAGUGGGAACUCCUUGACCUUGGAAGGAGUUAGGUCUGUUGAUCUAAUACCUUUUAUACCAUCAGUGAUUAUGCUAGACCAUCUAUUAAUAAAGUUUCUUUUCUGAGGAAUUAUAAAAUAGAAAGUUUGCAACUUAAAAAAUAUUGGAGCUGUAAACAAUGUCAUUUUUUGGGUCAUCUUAUGAUACAGUUAACCCUGAGUAAAAUAUUUCAACUGCGUUUGUAUAUAUCAACCUCAUUAAUAUAUUUGGGGAAAAAACAUUAGCAGAAAAUGUACAAAUGCUUGCUUAUCUUGGAAUUUGCCUGUAUUGAAUAAUUUUUGAAGACCAGGAAGUUUGCCAUAGUAACAUAGUCUUUAAGGAAACAGCUUUUUAGAAUCAGGGGGCUAGGGUUUGAAUCCUGACAUUUUCAAGCAGAUUAAUCCCUUUAAAUCUUCAGUUUCUCAGCCAUUAAAUCGGGAAAACUGUAGCAUUCAGGGUGUUGUUGUACGAAUUACAAAAAAUAAAACAUAUUAAGGAUUUGGCUUAGUGCCUGCAUGAUGGAAAAUAUCCAAUAAACAUUACAUUGAACUCUGUCCUUCUGUCUUUGUAUUUGGUCUCAAGGACAUUCACAGUGUUCUCCAGAAGUGACUGUCACAAUACAUUGGAAUUUAUCCUCUUUAAAGCACCAAUUGCCCUUUCUGAUUUACUCUUUAAUAGGAAAUCUUUUGAUAUAUAGUACAUAUUUUCAAUAUUUGCUGCUCUGAGUAUACCCAGCAUGGUUUAACCAUUUCUAGAUGGCUCAGUACUAAUAUAACGGAGAUGAGUUAUAAUAUUCUUGCUUUAGUAAAGGUAUCGUUCAGGCAUCAUUGCACAGGAGGGAUUUUUACAUUUUCUCUAGGCAAUGCCAUGUUAGUGUACUUUUGGGGUUCCUAUAUUUACUUUGCAAAAUUUUUCUGUCUUUUCUCUUAUGUGGAUUAUAAUUGGAAAUCAGAGUGAGAAGAGAAGUGAGACAAUGUAUAUAGCACAUAAUAUAGCCUUGGGAAAACACUUUCUAUGUUUGGGAAGCAGAAACUGAGAUCUGAUGAAAGGGAUGAGGUUGGUGCAUAAAGUCUCAUCUAUUUCCACUGCCACUCAUGGGCAUUUUUCGCUCACCUUUGGGAUGUUGGCUGAAUUCUGGAUGAUGGAGGUUUGAUAGGUGCUACCUCUGAUUCAAUAAAGUGUUACAUCUUUUCUUGCUCGAUCAAGUGUGAGACUUAACAUGUACUAAAUGAGAAGACAUUGCUGUUCCCUAGAAAUGCUACACCUCUGUCUUAAACUCUGGUAUCCCAUUCUUCGAACCUAAUCUCCAUCAUUCAAUCAUCUCCCUUCCCUUCCUCCUUUCUGCCUCUUUCUCAAAUCUUUUUGAACUUCUAGUGCUUCGAGACUUCAAGUUUUCUUCAUCACCAGCUUCUUUUGUUUUUACUUCUUCAUGAUCUCAUUGCUUAUAACUGCAUUGUCUUAAAAACUUUACUCCCUUACUUACCCUCUCCAUACUUCUAUUUUUUUCU